CUUCUCGGGCCGCGAGGAACAGCGGCGUCUGCUCCUGUGCCGGAAGAAACAGCCAGGGGGCGAGGUCAGGGAGGGCCACGCCCACAGGGUGGCUCUUCCGGACUCCACCCACUUGGCCACUGGCCCUUCCCCCUUCAGGAAAGAGUCCCCUCCGUGAGCCCCCUUCCUCCUCACUCUUACUUGAGGCCAAUGCUGUCUUCACCCAGGGGAGGCCGGCGUCUGCGGGGAGCUGGCUGAGUUCGAGGCCUUCGAAUGAACCCAGGGGGCAGCCAGAGGGCCCCAUGCUCUCGGCGCCGCCUCCGGAUGAGCUGAAGGACGAGAAGAGCCCCAAGGGCCAGGAGAAGCACCCCGGCCACUGAAUGAAAGCUUCACGAGAACAGACAUGUUGGGGCGCCUGGGUGACUCAGUUAAGCGUCUGCCUUCAGCUUGGGUCAUGAUCCCAGGGUCCUGGGAUCAAGCCCUGCAUUGGGCUCCCUGCUCAGUGGGGAGCCUGCUCUCUCCCUCUC